UACGAAGGGGGCGAGCGUUGUUCGGAUUUACUGGGCGUAAAGGGCGCGCAGGCGGCGAUUUUUGUCAGGCGUGAAAGCCCCGGGCUCAACCUGGGAACUGCGUUUGAUACGGGAUUGCUAGAGAUCGGGAGAGGAGAGUGGAAUUCCCAGUGUAGAGGUGAAAUUCGUAGAUAUUGGGAAGAACACCGGUGGCGAAGGCGGCGACCUGGUCCUUAACUGACGCUGAGGCGCGAAAGCGUGGGGAGCAAACAGG
rnacentral:rRNA from 1 species